GAUGAACGCUGGCGGCGUGCCUAACACAUGCAAGUCGAGCGAAAAGACCCGGCUUUUGUUCCGUGGACGUUUGCCGCGGAGGGGUGUGUCACACGUGUGUCAUCUCCCUAUAAGUGUGGUAUAACUACGGGAAACGGGCUCUAACACGGGAGGAUAUUUCGCUCCGCAUGGUUCGAUAGAGAAAGAUGGCUUUGCUGUCACUAAUAGCUGCACCUGGGCCGUAGUGGCUAGUUGGUAAGUUCACGGCUUACCAAGGCAAGGAUACGUAGCCGACCUGAGAGGGUGAUCGGCCACACUGGAACUGAGACACGGUCCAGACUCCUACGGGAGGCAGCAGUAGGGAAUCUUCCGCAAUGGGCGAAAGCCUGACGGAGCAACGCCGCGUGAGUGAUGAAGGUCUUCGGAUCGUAAAACUCUGUUAUUAGGGAAGAACAAACGUGUAAGUAACUGUGCACGUCUUGACGGUACCUAAUCAGAAAGCCACGGCUAACUACGUG
rnacentral:rRNA from 1 species